CCAACCUCGGAACUGCAUCGAAAGUGGUGUACUUGAGUGCGAUAUUGAGAUGCAAGUGAACUCCGGUGUAUCGUAAAACUUGCAUGCGCAGAUAUGUGGAAGACCACCAGUGGCGAAAGGUGUCUAACCUUAGAUCUUAACCGACGUUGAGGCUAGGAAAGAAUGGGUAGCAAAACGGGAUUAAGACCCCCCGGUAGUCCGUUCUUUUAACACCAUGGGUGCUAGUUUUUAAGAGGUUUCCGCCUCCUUAGUGAGGUAGCAAAACCCAAGUAAAGCAACCCCCCUUAGGGAGUACGGCUCGCAAGGCUAAACUUUAAAGGCCUUUCAUCGGGGACCCGAACAAGUGGUGGAGCAUUUGGUUUAACCUUAUAAAGAUACGAGAAAACUAUCCUUACCAGGUCUUGACAUACCAAGGAUCGCUUUUGUGCUGAAAGCCGGAACAUUGGAUACAGGUGGAACAUGGUCGUCGUCAGCUUGUGUCGUGAGAUGUUGGGUUAAGUCCCGCAACGAGCGCAACCCUUGUUAUUAGUUGCCAGCAUUUAGUCCCUGGGCACUCUAAUGAGGAAAAUCUGUGAUAAACCGGAGGAAGGUGGGGACGACGUAAGAUCUUCAUGCCCCUUAUGACGUGGGCAACACACGUUCUACAAUGGGAAGUACACCGAGUUACAAACCGGCGACGGUGGUGCAAGCUAAUCUCCUUAAAACAUGGCCGCCUCCCACUUCGGACGAGAGUAAGCAACUUUUCUCCCAGAAGGCGGAAUCGAUAUUAAUCGCGAAUCAGCAUCAUGCGGUGAAUAAUUCCUGGGUCAUGUACACACCGCCCUUCAAAUCAUGGGAGUCCGAAGUACCCAAAGUGGCUUGGCUAACUUUCAGAGGAAGGUGCAUAAGGUAAAAUCG
rnacentral:rRNA from 1 species